UUAACAAGCACAUGGCUUCUACUGCGGAGGACCAGCUGGCCAGCCGCCUGCUCGCGUGCUUGGUACGCGAGCUCGCCACGCGGGCUUGGCACGCCGACUUGGCACGCGGAUCUGCCAGUUCUCGUGGAACUUUGCAAAGAGGCUAUGGUCACAUCACCAUAGGGGGUAAGGGUCAUUGAUAGGGAGCUAGAGAAAAGACAAAGACGACGCUGUUCGCAAUGACCAAGUACCAGGAGGAAGACGACAGUGCCCCUGACGACAGCCUGCGAAGGCUCGUGCUCGCCUUUGCGGUGACGGCGUGCCUAUUAUGCGUGGUCCUCGCUCUUUCGGUGUACCGCCGGAGGGAACCUUCGAAACAAGACGG
rnacentral:lncRNA from 1 species